rnacentral:rRNA from 1 species
CCAUCCUCCAAGGCUAAAUACUCCUGACUGACCGAUAGUGAACCAGUACCGUGAGGGAAAGGCGAAAAGAACCCCGGCGAGGGGAGUGAAAAAGAACCUGAAACCGUGUACGUACAAGCAGUGGGAGCACGCUUAGGCGUGUGACUGCGUACCUUUUGUAUAAUGGGUCAGCGACUUAUAUUCUGUAGCAAGGUUAACCGAAUAGGGGAGCCGAAGGGAAACCGAGUCUUAACUGGGCGUUAAGUUGCAGGGUAUAGACCCGAAACCCGGUGAUCUAGCCAUGGGCAGGUUGAAGGUUGGGUAACACUAACUGGAGGACCGAACCGACUAAUGUUGAAAAAUUAGCGGAUGACUUGUGGCUGGGGGUGAAAGGCCAAUCAAACCGGGAGAUAGCUGGUUCUCCCCGAAAGCUAUUUAGGUAGCGCCUCGUGAAUUCAUCUCCGGGGGUAGAGCACUGUUUCGGCAAGGGGGUCAUCCCGACUUACCAACCCGAUGCAAACUGCGAAUACCGGAGAAUGUUAUCACGGGAGACACACGGCGGGUGCUAACGUCCGUCGUGAAGAGGGAAACAACCCAGACCGCCAGCUAAGGUCCCAAAGUCAUGGUUAAGUGGGAAACGAUGUGGGAAGGCCCAGACAGCCAGGAUGUUGGCUUAGAAGCAGCCAUCAUUUAAAGAAAGCGUAAUAGCUCACUGGUCGAGUCGGCCUGCGCGGAAGAUGUAACGGGGCUAAACCAUGCACCGAAGCUGCGGCAGCGACGCUUAUGCGUUGUUGGGUAGGGGAGCGUUCUGUAAGCCUGCGAAGGUGUGCUGUGAGGCAUGCUGGAGGUAUCAGAAGUGCGAAUGCUGACAUAAGUAACGAUAAAGCGGGUGAAAAGCCCGCUCGCCGGAAGACCAAGGGUUCCUGUCCAACGUUAAUCGGGGCAGGGUGAGUCGACCCCUAAGGCGAGGCCGAAAGGCGUAGUCGAUGGGAAACAGGUUAAUAUUCCUGUACUUGGUGUUACUGCGAAGGGGGGACGGAGAAGGCUAUGUUGGCCGGGCGACGGUUGUCCCGGUUUAAGCGUGUAGGCUGGUUUUCCAGGCAAAUCCGGAAAAUCAAGGCUGAGGCGUGAUGACGAGGCACUACGGUGCUGAAGCAACAAAUGCCCUGCUUCCAGGAAAAGCCUCUAAGCAUCAGGUAACAUCAAAUCGUACCCCAAACCGACACAGGUGGUCAGGUAGAGAAUACCAAGGCGCUUGAGAGAACUCGGGUGAAGGAACUAGGCAAAAUGGUGCCGUAACUUCGGGAGAAGGCACGCUGAUAUGUAGGUGAAGUCCCUUGCGGAUGGAGCUGAAAUCAGUCGAAGAUACCAGCUGGCUGCAACUGUUUAUUAAAAACACAGCACUGUGCAAACACGAAAGUGGACGUAUACGGUGUGACGCCUGCCCGGUGCCGGAAGGUUAAUUGAUGGGGUCAGCGCAAGCGAAGCUCUUGAUCGAAGCCCCGGUAAACGGCGGCCGUAACUAUAACGGUCCUAAGGUAGCGAAAUUCCUUGUCGGGUAAGUUCCGACCUGCACGAAUGGCGUAAUGAUGGCCAGGCUGUCUCCACCCGAGACUCAGUGAAAUUGAACUCGCUGUGAAGAUGCAGUGUACCCGCGGCAAGACGGAAAGACCCCGUGAACCUUUACUAUAGCUUGACACUGAACAUUGAGCCUUGAUGUGUAGGAUAGGUGGGAGGCUUUGAAGUGUGGACGCCAGUCUGCAUGGAGCCGGCCUUGAAAUACCACCCUUUAAUGUUUGAUGUUCUAACGUGGACCCGUGAUCCGGGUUGCGGACAGUGUCUGGUGGGUAGUUUGACUGGGGCGGUCUCCUCCUAAAGAGUAACGGAGGAGCACGAAGGUUGGCUAAUCCUGGUCGGACAUCAGGAGGUUAGUGCAAUGGCAUAAGCCAGCUUGACUGCGAGCGUGACGGCGCGAGCAGGUGCGAAAGCAGGUCAUAGUGAUCCGGUGGUUCUGAAUGGAAGGGCCAUCGCUCAACGGAUAAAAGGUACUCCGGGGAUAACAGGCUGAUACCGCCCAAGAGUUCAUAUCGACGGCGGUGUUUGGC